GUGUCAGCAGCCGCGGUAAUACAGAGGGUGCUAGCGUUGUCCGGAAUCACUGGGCGUAAAGGGCGCGUAGGCGGCCCGAUAAGUAGGGGGUGAAAUCUUGCGGCUCAACCGCAAGGCUGCCUUCUAAACUGUCGGGCUGGAGCACGGUAGAGGCAGAUGGAAUUCCCGGUGUAGCGGUGGAAUGCGUAGAGAUCGGGAAGAACACCAGUGGCGAAGGCGGUCUGCUGGGCCGUUGCUGACGCUGAGGCGCGACAGCGUGGGGAGCAAACAGGAUUAGAUACCCCUGUAGUCC
rnacentral:rRNA from 1 species